GCCUGCUUUGGGGAGGGUGUCCUUGUGGGUGCUGACAGGGACUUUGUUGGGCACAUAGGACGUAACAAAAUAGCCGUGUUCUGCACCUGACUUUUCAUGUCUGGACAGUGCCUGAGCACUGCCUAGGCUUGAGGAGUGGAGAAAUGGAAGUCUGACUCUAGUGUGCCCCCACUGAAGAGGGAAGGAUUUGGUUUUAGAUCAGCAGUGUUAAAGUGAGACGUGUGUCUUUACAUCCCUAGAACAAUGGGGCAAGCCCUGUGUAUUGUGGGACCUCUCCUAUAUACCUUGGAAGAGUUACUUCAUCCCCUAAUCCAUUUUGGGUUCUGCCCAAGUUGUUCUGUCCUUCUUGUCUUGCAAUUCAUUGUAUUUUGCUUUUCCCCCUUCUGUUGCAUCCUUAUUGUUUUGUGCUCCUGGGUCUUCUUUUUUGCUGUGACCAAAACCCAUGACCAUGCUUCAAUUCGUGGUUCUCCAUCUCUGGAUUUAUGUGAAUUGGUGCCUGUGUUGGUGAUGGCCUAGUAAGUGCGUUCCAGAGGUUAAGAAAGCGGGGACCCAUCUUGUUGAUUUCCCAUGUGGGUCACCGGUAGCUGUAACCUCCCUGGACAAGACCUUGCUUAUGCAAUGAGGUGUAACCUCCAACCAUGUCUGUACUUUGUGUGGAGCAUAGUGGGUGGUUGCAAAGCUGUUUGAAGUCAUUAAUUUGGGGAACUAACUCUUUUUUUCACUGUAUGUGAAAGUUUCAGAAAGCAAAGAAACUGUCUAACACAUAAAAAUUCAAAACUAGCACUAUAGAUUGGCGAGAAAUCAUACAUAUCACAGCUUUCAAGAGGUGAAGUUUUCUUUGGAAAAAGAGAACCAACACUAAGCUCUGCUUUUUUGUUUUUUAAUUUUUCUUUUUUUUAUAUCUCUUUCCAUGUUUGUGCACAAUGUGUAUUAUUUAGUGGAUUUUGUAGUCAAAACAUUAGAUAUUGACCUCAUUAGUCUGCAGGUUUCUCCAGAUUUGUAUUGUCAUCUGUUGUUUUAUUUUCUUUUUCUAUUCCCUAUUUAUGGUUCACAUGAAAAACCUGUCACUAGGGAGUUUAGAUUGUGGUUUUUAUUAUCUGGAGAUUGUCAGUGAUGGUGCACGGGAAGCAUAAUGGACCUUGAAUUUUGUAAACACAGGUAAUUUAGCAGGAAUAUUGACAGUGAAUUCUUGUUUUGACUUGUAAGGGAUAGGUUAUGAAGUUCAUCAUUGCAGUAUCCAAAGCUUUCUCCAAAAUGGGGUAAUUUUUCAUCUAAGAAGCACUUUGAAGUGCACUCUGCAUAUUUUUUUAAAGUAUCUCUUAACAAGAGCAAUCUACAGCUGGGAUGAUGUUUCACUGCUUUUUUAACAGAUCCUCUAAGCAAAACCGGCGUACUGUAUUUGAGCUGAGUCCCGUUUUUCUUGGAAGCAUUAGAGUGUCCUUUUUUCAGUGCGAAAGAGAAACCAUUACUUUCUAGAGGAAAAUCUGGGAAGCGACAUCAUUGCUGUAGUUGCUGAGCCAGCCAUUGCCAUAGUUUCUCUUUUCCUGCUGGCUAGUGAGUCUCUUCCAGAUGGGUCUGCAGCUCGAGAAAGAUGGAAGUGCUUAGGCAACUGGGUCUGGAGAAACCAAAAUGGUGUGGGAGAACUUUUAAAACAUUUUAGACAGAAAAUGAAUUAGUUCCCUUCUUCAGUAGUAGUCACCAAAUGCUCUUUUAUAUGUGGUAUUGCCUGUUUCUUUUUGUUGGCUUCAAAUCACUGUAUGUUAAUAAUAAUUUGUAUAAUAAUUAAUAAUAAUUUCUGCCCUAAGACAAUAGCUUGAGAUUAACUGUAGCAAAGAUUGCUGCAGCUUUUAAUGGAAUUAUUAAUAAACUGCUCAGUGACUAAAUACUGUGA